UCCAUCUUUCCAACAUCAGGGUCUUUUCCAGGGAGUCUUCUCUUCUCAUGAGGUGGCCAAAGUCUUGGAGCCUCAGCUUCAGGAUCUGUCCUUCCAGUGAGCACUCAGGGCUGAUUUCCUUCAGAAUGGAGAGGUUUGAUCUUCUUGCAGUCAAUGAGACUCUCAAGAGUCUCCUCCAGCACCAUAAUUCAAAAGCAUCCAUUCUUUGGUGAUCAGCCUUCUUUAUGGUCCAGCUCUCACUUCCAUACAUCACUACUGGGAAAACCAUAGCUUGAACUAUACGAACCUUUGUCGACAAGGUGAUGUCUCUGCUUUUUAAGAUAGAAUCAUACAAUUGUAGAGUUGGACGGGACCCUGAGGGGCAUCUAGUCCAACUCUCUGCAAUGAAGGAAUCUUUUGCCCAACGUGGGGCUCGAAUCCAUGUUCCUGAGAUUAAGAGCCUUGUGCUCUAUUGACUGAGCUAUCAAUGGCUACUAAUAAACAUAUGCUUUUUUGUUUUAUAAUAAGCCUGAGUCUGAAUACUUUUCAACUAAAGGUGUGCGCAGAGCAUUUAACUGAAGUUAACUUCUACCCUUGCAUUUAAAUGCUAACAUUUUGUGUUUUGUGUGAUCUGUACUGUAAUUCAAGGCUCACCCAUUCAUCCAACUUUUGUGCUUUGAAGCAUCCCCCUACCCCUCCAGCUUUUUCACCUCAUCAACACCUGGAAAAGGGAAAGUUAUCCAAAGACUCUUCAGAUUAAAACAUUAUUACCUCUGGGGAAGAUUUUAAUCAUGCUGUAGUGUAUAUCAACCUUCUUACUGUUUACAGCCUACAAAGAUUUAUUUAUUUCAUUUCUAACAUUUCGAUCCCUGAUAAUAGCCUCCAGCCCCCAAAAUAAAAUAAGAUGGAAAGCGUUUAUAUGAAACGUGCUAAUUUAUGUAUUGGAAUUAUUUUAGCUGUGAAGUACAAAUCGCACACCUUUUCAUAUUAAAUAUGUUCACUGAACUAUAUAUCAUUGUAUUAUAUUAAUAACAAGUUGUAAAUCAAAGGAAAUGUGAAAUGUUAAUUGGAGUGGAGGAGGAUUUCAAAGAAGCUUGCAACAUGUGUGUUGUACAAUGCAAACAUUCCAAGAACCACUGAAGACCAUAAAUGUACAGGGAACCCUUUGUUGCUGAAAGUCCGGGGUGUAAAUAUUUGUUUUGUUUAUUUAUCGCAUUUACACAUCACCUUUCCUCUGAGGAGCAUGGAGUGGUACACAAAGUAGUUGGGUCUGCUAAUCAGAGCUUUUUAUUGUCCCAGGCGCUGCUAAUGCCAAUAAGAGCCUGUAGACAGGAGAUCCUAGACAGCAUCUUAAAAAGUAGAGACAUCACCUUGCCGACUAAGGCCGGUAGAGUAAAAGCUAUGGUUUUCCCAGUAGUGAUGUACUGAAGUGAGAGCUGGACCAUAAAGAAGGCUGAUCGCCGAAGAAUUGGUGCUUUUGAAUUAUGGUGCUGGAGGAGACUCUUGAGAGUCCCAUGGACUGCAAGAAGAUCAAACGCAUCCAUUCUUAAGGAAAUCAGCCCUGAAGGACAGAUCCUGAAGCUGAGGCUCCAAGACUACGGCAGACCAACACGGCUACCUACCUGUAACUAUGUGCAUUUAGAUUAGCCUUAGCACUUGCCCUGGGUGUGUCUUCUAAUAUUCAUGAGAUCCUAAUAGGCUCCAGAACAUGUGCAGAAUCCCCAAAGUAGCAUCUGCUAUUUCUUUUUGUUAUCUUGGAUUGUAAAUCUUUGACUCUACAAUAAAAUGCCUCCUUAACACAUUGCAAGCAAGAGCUGAUAAGAGGUAAUUAACGAGUCCCUAACAAAUAGACAAUGGGGACGCGGGUGGCGUCGGCUUGCCGAUCAGAAGGUUGGCGGUUCGAAUCCCCACGACAGAGUGAGCUCCCAUUGUUCGGUCCCUGCUCCUGCCAACCUAGCAGUUCGAAAGCACGUCAAAGUGCAAGGAGAUAAAUAGGUACCACUCCAGCGGGAAGGUAAACGGCGUUUCCAUGCACUGCUCUGGUUCACCAGAAGCGGCUUAGUCAUGCUGGCCACAUGACCCGGAAGCUGUAUGCCGGCUCCCUUGGCCAAUAAAGCGAGAUGAGCGCCGCAACCCCAGAGUCGUCCGCGACUGGACCUAAUGGUCAGGGGUCCCUUUACCUUUACCUAACAAAUAGACAAAGGAAGAGAUUCAACUUCAACAGACCAGGCUGAUGGACUGCAAACUAGCUUUCUUUAGCAUAACACUUGAUAGGUUCUCCAGCAGGGAAACAGAGACAGCAAGCACAAUUUUAUACAGUAGCAAAUAUAGCUGGUUAUUUUAUAUAAAAACAGGAUCUCUAAUCAUUCCUGACCCCACAUAGUUCUCCUCCUGCCCUGUUUAUCCUCACGACAACCCUGUGAGGUAGGUUAGGCUGAGACUGGCCCCGAAGGUCACCAAGGGAGCUUCAUGGCUGACAUGUGGAUUUGAACCCUGUUCUGCCAGGUCCUAGUUCAAACCUCCAACCAAUAAACAAAUCAACAAAUUCAUAGAGAAACAUACAUUCACGAAACUCUCAGCAGAACUCACACUCGACUCUUUCCAAGGCACAACAACAAAAGGAAGGCGGUCCGGUCCUCAUCCACACUAUUCUUUUAAAGCAAUAUCAUUCCACUUUAAAAACUCAUGACUUCCCCCAAAGAAUCUUGGGAAAUGUAGUUGUUAGGAGCGCUGAAGGGUGUUCAGGAGACCCCUAUUCCCUUCCCAUAACUACAAUUCCCAGAGUUCCCUGGGAAGAGGGAUUAGUUGUUAAACUAAAUUUUCCAAAUGUGAAUAGGCAUAUGUUUAAAGAUUAAUUUGCCACCUGAAAUAUUUUGAAGAAAGCUUUUUUCCUUUUAUUUUAUUGUAAAAUUGGCUUGGGGAGAUUUCCUGCUGACACCAUAGCAGACAGCCAAUCGGCACUGGGCACAGCUGGUGGAUGCUUCAGACUUGCAGAACUGUGCUUGGUUGUUAUUCCAAACUUGAUCCUGGAGAGGUAAGACACAUCUGGCUUGACUACAGCUUCUAAGUUCGCCUCCCACCCUAUAAAAAGAUUAUACAUCUCCUUUUCACACUGUGGCAAAAUGGAGAUAGGAAAUCGUCAGGAGAAGGCCGACUAUUCUGUCUCUUGGAAACAGAGUGGUAUUUGGGCUGCCUAUCAAGUGUGGCGGGGAGGCUCUGGAUGCAAAAAUAAAACUAUGAAAGAGCCUUUAUCUGCUUGCAAGACAGAAAAAGGAAAUAUCUUUUCUUAAGGAGAACCGGGACUAAGGAUGAGGCCUGUCUUCCCAGAUGUUCUGUUCAUCCCUGUGAGUGUGAUACAGGAUUCAGCCCCCUUUGGGAGCCCUUAGGCCCAUUUGCAACAGAAUUAAUUAAUGGGCUGGGGGGAGGGGACCCUGUGGGUGGCACAUUAGCAAAUGCUGGCAUACAUCAGCCUAGAGCAAAAGGUUUAUUCUGCAGAGUAAAUACAGAAUUUGAGUGUGUUCAAAAAAAGCCUUUAGGACAGGCUGUUCCAGUGGAAACAUUAUACAAGGGAGAGUCAGGAAAUAGCUUUUGUUGAAAAAGACCUAUAUUUCCUAAUGGGGGAAAAAUUCGCCUCAUUCAUUUGCUGGAACAAGGGGCGGUCCAUUGAAUACUCUGGCAAAUGGCAUCACCGCUAUUGCCCUAAUUUUUUUUUAAAGCCCUGAAUCUGCAUUCCCUCCUCCUGUACAGCACUGAUACUGCAGCUCAAUGGACUGGUGAUUUGCCAGUAUAAUGCAACUUUGUUGUUCAUAAGCAGGCGGUUUCCCCAGAAAUCUGAGCUUCCUUUGAAAAGCACAACUUUCUAGUCCUCAUGGAUGCUCGCUGGAAGCGCUGCCGUUUUCUUCUGCUCAUAUGUUGGGGGGGCCAUCGUGCCAGAGAUGCAAGCUGCAUGUGUGGACAAGGCCACCGGUAUCUCCCACUUGGCAACAAGACAAAGCUGAACAAGUUAAUUAAGGCAAAGAAUGAAGGACAGAGAGCGUUUCCUUCCAAGCAACGUGCUGCCUUCGGAUUUCGCUGCAUGUCCCAGCAGGGCUGGGAGCAUGCCUUGGGAUCAUUUCAAGAAGGCGGUCGCUGUUGGCUGAGUUCUUUGCUGUCAUCCGAAAAGCUGCUGGGUGAAAACACUCAUUUCCAAAAGGAAACUGUUGGCAAAGGGCGCAGCUGGAUUAACCCCCAAUAAACACGGGCACAGGGUUCUUAAGAAACUCUGCUACAGCAGCGCUGACUGCCAUGGCAUUGCCCCUCCACCCAACCCCAGACGAGAAGAGGAAUUUGCCUUCUACCAAAUAUGGCCCCUGGGAGUCUCUCAAGGUGGCCCUCAUAUCUCUCCCCAGCCCACACCACCCCUCACUGGCCCAUGUUUUUGCUUAGAGCAUGCACCACUCUGGCAAGACAGUCUGUGGGCAGAUAGGGUCUCAUCCUGCGUACCAGAUGGAGCUGGUAAACAGCUGCCCUGGACACAGAAUUGACCUGCGCCUCCAUGGACAGCUGUGAGCCCAAAAUGACUCCCAGGCUGCGCACCUGGUCCUUCGGGGGCACAGUUACCCCAUUCAGGACCAGGGAGUCCUCCACACCUGCCCGCCCCCUGUCCCCCCAAAACAGUACUUCUGUCUUGUCAGGAUUCAGCCUUAAUCCACUAGCUGCCAUCCAUUCUCCAACCGCCUCCAGGACCUUCACUGCCUUCACUGGUUCCGAUUUAAAAGAGAGGUAGAGCUGGGUAUCAUCCGUAUAUUGAUGGACACCCAGCCAGCUCUACUCCCUAGUGGAAGCUCAGGUGGCCUCUGAGACAAAGCCGAUAUUCCCACAGCAUGCUGGUUAAAUAAAUUGUUGGUUCCAAACCGGUUAUCUGAGAGUGCCAAGCCUUAUGUUCCCACGAGCAAAAAAUGAAUGGCUGUAGCUCCGUGGCAGAUCACUUGCUUUGACUGCAGAAAGGACAUGAAGUUUGACCAUUGGCUUCUUCAGGUAGGGUUGGGGAAGUCUUCUAAAACUGAUGUUAUGAGAAAAAUUAUAAUGGUGACUAGAGCUGUCAGUCAGCAUAGAACAGGAACAGGGGAACCUCUGGCCCCUCCAGAUGUUGCUGGAUUAUAAACAGGGGUCAGAAAUCCAUCUGGGAAAGGAUACAUCAAAAUGGUGUGCUCAACACACAAUUUUUAGCUUAUAGCUAAAACUGCAUUCUGUUGGUUUCACUGUGAUAUUCCUCUGCUAUCUCUUCUUUCCGCAACACUUCAUGCUCCCUUUGGAAGGUUGAGUUGGGAGUGCAAAUGCAUUAUGAAAUAAAACUGUCUUAUUGGACAAAACCCUUAAAGGGAUGAAGUAUAAGCUGAGCCUGUUUGACUAGGAGCCAAAUUGCAUGGGACGUUCCAGUAAGGGCACUGCUUCUGACACAGAGCAGGUGAUGGCACAGUGAUGGCACUGGAGGUCCCCACCACUAUGCCCAUAUUGCAGAAAGCACCCAAGAGUGUCAGAAACAGCAGGGGAAAAAUCUGGAGCCAGCACUGGCUGGCUGCAGUUGUCUCUUGAUAGCAUCCAGCUACGAAAGUGUUAAGGCAGAGCAAGCGAAGCCUUUGAGAAAGCAGGCCAGAGCAUCUGACAGCCACCAUCUCCCUCCUCUUCCCCCCGCUUGCCUAUUUAUUUUUCCACUUCUGAUGUGAAAAGUCACCCUGAAUGACAUGCAUGAGAAACCAGGCAGGGCGGGGGACCCCCACCUUACGCCACCCGCUUUCAGGCGGGCUCAAAAGCUUUCGUGGGCCCGUUUGUGCCCCUCCGACCCACCUCUCCCCCGCCCCACGGCAACAAUGGCGGCUGCAAUGGCAGCUCUGCGAGGGGCUUGUUUGCCGUUGCCGGGGAGAGAAGAAUGUGCUGGGCCAGGGGGCUGACCCACUCCUGCCACCAAAGAGAGAGAAAUCUUAGCCUUGAAGGAGUCACCACUGAAUACCAUUCAAGGGACAGAAAAGAAGCGAAAUCCUUUUAAAGAGAGCCCAAGAAUGCUUCUCUCUGGCUUUUGUCUCGCUCUGCUUGGCUUUCAUGCAACGAUGCUAAGGAAGCCGCCCCAAUACAUUAACCAGUUUAACUUGUUGGUGACCCUUUUUUCGUGCUGAGGACACAAUGGGGAUCCUCUCCAGCUUUUUCUUCUUCUUCUUCUUCUUUUUCAAUAGAUUGGCCCCCCGUUGUUCCCUCUCCCUCCUGCCUCCCUUUCUCUGGGUCUCCUCACCAACCUUUUCUCAGGCCCCUCUUUGAGGGGCCUAUUCAAUGCCACCGCUCUGCGUUUCCGUAGAGAAUUUCCCCCCUCCAGGAACCUUCCCUUCAUACAAGGACGGAUUGUUCCAUUCAGUGCUGCCCGUUGGGACAUCGCCUCCCAUCGACAUGAAGGAAGUUUAGCGGCAGGAUCGACAUUUGUAAGUUUAUAAAAUGACGCCUGGCAUGGAGAAAGCAGGUGGAGAAAGGUUUUCCUCCCUCUCUUCCAACACUAGAACUCCUGGGCAUCCAAUGAUGCUGAAUGUUGGAAGACUCAGGAAAGAUAAAAGAAAUGGCUUCUCUUUCUUUCUUUCUUUCUUUCUUUCUUUCUUUCUUUCUUAAUACAGUCAAACCUUGGAAGUCAAACGGAAUCCGUUCCGGAAGUCUGUUCGACUUCCAAAAUGUUCGAAAACCAAAUGGUGGCUUCUGAUUGGCUGCAGGAAGCUCCUGCAACCAACCAGAAGCCUUGUCGAACGUCGGGUUCCAAAAAAACAUUCGCAAACCAGAACAAUCACUUCCGGGUUUGCGGCAUUCAGGAGCCAAAACGUCCAAGUUUCUGGGUGUUCGGGAUCCAAGGUACGACUGUAAAGUUAUAUCAACACUUUUCACAACACGAAAAAAGGCAAGCCAAUCUACAUGGCAAAUAACAAAGAAAAGAAAAGAAAUAGGAGAAUACAGGAAGGAUCCUAUCUCGCAAAUGUUUCUUAACUUUUGUCCCAUACAGAAAAGGUGUGUCCUCCCAGCUGUUACCUGGGAACAUCCCUCUCUUCUCCCAGCCUCUCACCCUGAGAGAUCUCCCCUUCCCUGUGUCUCACACAGCCUCCUUCAGACUGAGAGCCAGUGUGGUGUAGUGGUUAAGAGCAGUGGACUCGUAAUCUGGUGAACUGGGUUCGAUUCCCCGCUCCUCCUCAUGCAGCUGCUGGGUGACCUUGGGCUAGUCACACUUCUCUGAAAUCUCUCAGCCCCACUCACCUCACAGAGUAUCUGUUGUGGGGGAGGAAGGAAAAGGAGAUUGUUGGCCACUUUGAGACUCCUUAGGGUAGUGAUAAAGCGGGAUAUCAAAUCCAAACUCCUCUUCUUCUGUACAUCCCCUUCAUCUGCAUGCAGUUCUUACCUAAAUACAGCAAGAAAAACUGAUGAAUGUUGGAAGACUCAGAACAGGUAAAAUAAAUGACUUCUUCAUGCAGGGCAAAGUUGACCUGUGGAAUCUGUAGAAUAGGAGGCACUGAGGACCACCAACCUAGAUGGCUCUCAAAGAGGACUGGACAAAUUCAUGGAGGUCUGUUGAUGGCUCCUAGCCAUCAUGGCUGUGCUUGGCCUCCAUGGUUGGAGGAAAUGUUGAUUCUGAAUGCCAGGUGCUGGAGAUCCCAGGAGGGGAGAGGGCUUUUGUGCUCAAGUCCCGCUUGUGAGUUUCCCACAGGCAUCUGAUUGGCCACUGUGAGAACAGGAUGCUGGACUAGAUGGGCUCUUGGCCUGAUCCAGCCAGCAGGCUCUUCUUUCCUCCUGGAAAGACCCCAAAGGCCCAUUACUGAUGGGAUUGCAAGGGAAUGUUUGAGUUCUGGCUCUUCCCGAGCAUCUAAUGCAACACAGAAGGGUUUUUAAGAGGCCAAGCUAAGCACGAUCAUUUUGAUAAGGUCUGGUUCCCAUGUAUCUUGCUAUGUAAACAGAAGUGAUGUCAGUGUCGGACCUCCAGACUCUCACACUUAAUUAGGCCAUCAAUAGCAGAAGCCUUGGUGCUGCAUUCAACGGUUCAGUUCUUUGGCGGUGCCCCUGAUCAGGUUUCUUUCUUGUAUAUGUGAUUGGCAAUAAGCAUGUCAUGCUCUACAGGUCUUGAUCGAUGACAUUUUAUUGUAAAACCAUAUAUAUAGAUUGUUUGGAAUCCAGUUGUGCUUCCAAGUUCACAUCUGACCUCAUCUCUGGUUCACUAGCUGUUUUGUCUUUAUUACCGGCUCAGCAGUUUAGAAACAACCACCACCAAAUUGAAUUAUUUGUUGUUAUACAGUGGUACCUCAGGUUGUUAUACAAUGGUACCUCAGGUUGUUAUGUUGUUAUACAGUGGUACCUCUGGCUAUACAGUAGUAACUCAGGUUAAGUACUUAAUUCGUUCUGGAGGUCCGUUCUUAACCUGAAACUGUUCUUAACCUGAAGCACCACUUUAGCUAAUGGGGCCUCCCGCUGCUGCUGCGCUGCCGCCGCACGAUUUCUGUUCUCAUCCUGAAGCAAAGUUCUUCACCCAAGGUACUAUUUCUGGGUUAGUGGAGUCUGUAACCUGAAAUGUCUGCAACCUGAAGCGUCUGUAACCCGAGGUACCACUGUAUUUUAAUUCCAUGCAAGCUGGUGGAUGAGGUUCUCUCCUUGCCUCACACAUACAAGAAAAGCGACUCUGUGAGACAGGUCAGAGCAGGGGGGCCAACUUGAAUAAAAUAUUGGGGGGCCCAGGUAAGCCCCAUCCCAAAUAAUCAGUCACAUUUUUAUCAGUCACACAUAAACCAUUUGAAUGGCAAUGCCCUCAGUUUUGGGGAGCCCAGCUCCUUGAAAUAUUUUAUUGGGGGAGUGAAGGGGCCCUGGCCCCUAGGAGUUAGCUCCUAUGGGUCAGACUGAGAGACAGAGACCGGCCUAAGGGCACCCAGUGAGCUUCAUGGCUGAGGGGGAAUUUCAGCCCAGCCCUCCCAAAGUCUCUCUCCCCUGUGUCUUAGUUGCUUAACAAUCCAUCCCUCUUCACAGGGAAUUCUGGGAAUUGUAUCUCUGGGAGGGCAAUAGGGAGGUCUCCUAGCAACACUCAGCACCCUUAACAGACUACAACUCCCAAUAUGCUUUGGCGGGGGGGGGGGGACCAUGACUGCUUAAAGUGGAAUUGGAGAGUUUUCAAUAUACAGUCAUACCUUGGUUGUCAAACAGAAUCUGUUCCGGAAGUCCGUUCAACUUCCGAAAACAUUUGACAACCAAGGCGUGGCUUCUGGUUGGCUGCAGGAGCUUCCUGCGCUCAAUCGGAAGCCGCAUCGGACGUUUGGAUUCCAAAGAGCGUUUGCAAACCGGAACACUCCCUUCUGGAUUUGUGGCAUUCGGGAGCCAAAAUGUUAGUGUCGCAAGGAGUUUGGGACCCAGGUAUGACUGUAUGGUAUAAAUGUGGCCUCUAAGAUAUGCAGCCACAAUCUGUGCAUCGUGCUCCACCCCAAACAAGAAGGCAAAACUCUAGGAAGGCAGAAAUAAAUAAAUAAAAAUGUCCUUCCAAAUAAAACACACGCAAACAUUGCACAGGCAUUCGAAAUCCAUUGUUCUCUUUUACUCUCCUUCCCUUUCCCAACCAGACCAGCCACAUCCACCUGUUCUUUUCUAAUCCUGCACUGAGCCACAAACCCCUUUUGAAGCAGGACAGGUGGCAAGGAGGCAGCAGGCAGGUGGGGGCCAUUUGCGUUCCUUUGUGAUAAUCUGUGAUAUUUUAGUGUAUUUUUGGUUUCUAUGGAAGCCGCCCAGAGUAACUGGGGAAACCCAGCAAGAUGGGCGGGGUACAAAUAAUAAAUUAUUAUUAUUAUUAUUAUUAUUAUUAUUAUUAUUAUUAUUUGUCUCGUGUGCUGCGUGUGGCUCCCCACAGAAAGCUAGCAAACAAGCCCAACUAAAAUAACAAUAAAGUGAGCAGCAUAUUUGGGUGUUCAGAUAUGGAGUGGAGAAGCAAGUGGCUUCAUUUGCGACGUUUUUGCCUACGGGGCUGGACAAGAAGCUUGCAUGCUGUCGUGUGUGAGGUACAGGAUGAGACCCCACUUACAAUCCAGGCAGCUGGUGUGCAGCGAGGAGGAGCCUUAUCCCUGCGUGGGCCGCGAAAUAAACGUUUUCGCUACAGGGAAGGGCUUUCGCCCAGGAAACAGAGUAUCUCCUUUGCAUGAAGAACAUCCCAGGUUUGAUCCCUGAUGCCUCUGAAAGGCACCAUGUUGGCUUUUCCUCCAAUAACAAUAGAACAAUAGAGUUGGAAGGGACCAUGAGGGUCAUCUAGUCGAACCCGCUGCAAUGCAGGAAUGUUUUGCCCAAACCCAUGACCCUGAGAUUCAGAGUCUCAUGCUCUACCGAUGGAGCCAUGCAUAGUUCCCCGCUGCUUAUGUAUUUCAAGCGGUGACCUGCAUCAUUUACGAAAUGCUUUAAAAUGGGAUUAAGCCAGACUUCACCAGCCUGGUGGCCUCCAGAUGUUUGGCACUACAACUUCCAUCACUCUGACCAUUGGCUGUUGUGGCUGAGGCUGAUGGGAGUUGUAGUUCAAAACAUCACAAGGGCACCGGGUUGGUGAAGGAGGUUUUUUUUAAUAAUAAUUUUUAUUGCAUUUUCAAUUUUAUCAUAAUCCCAGUUUCAAUACACAAUUCAAUAAACUCAAACAUCGCUCUAACAGAGCAUUGACCUCCUCCCACCCCUCUUUCUGACUUCCAUAGAUACUUACUUUAUUCUCAGCCUUUCUAUAACCACUUUUUUACCUUCUCUCUUAUUUUUGUAUUUCCCCUCAUUAAAUGUAAAUCAGUUCCUUAUAUUCUCAUUACAAAACAUUUCAACUCAAACCUACAAACAUAUUCAGAUGUUUACAAUGUUCUUUCAUAUAUAAUAUAAAUUUGCUCCAGUCCUUUUGAAACAGUUCAUCGCGCUGAUUCCGGAUCUUCCCCAUCAGCUUUGCUAACUCUACAUAUUCCACCAUCUUACUCCGCCAUUCUUCCAAUGUUGGAAGUUCCUGAAGUUUCCAUUUCUGAGCCAGGAGUAUCCUUGCAGCCAUUGUUGCAUACAUAAACAAAUUCACAUCUUUUUUUUUUGGAAUUUCAUCUCCAAUUAAACCUAACAAAAACACCUCCGGUUUUUUUAUUGAAAUUGUAUUUAAAAACCUUUUUUAAUUCAUUAUAUAUUAUGUCCCAGUAGGCUUUCACCUUGGUACACAUCCACCACAUAUGAAGGGAAUUCCCCUGAAGGAGGUUCAGCCUACUAACAGUUAUUACCUGUGGUGGCUAUAUGGACACACCCCCCCACAUUUUUAGAGGCAGUAUACCUGGAAAGUAGCCUCAAACCAUACUUGCAAUUGUGCUGUCACAUCAAGUCAAACCUUGGUACUGAAAUCAGGUUUCACACAGGUGCCUCUUACUAGAUUUACAAGGUUAUAUACAGAUCCCUGGCAGGGCUCCUAAUACAGUCCUGCGUCGGGUUUUCUGUUAGGCCAGGGAUGGUGAAUCCAUGGCCCUCUAAGGUGCUGUUGGCCUUCCAAUGCCCAACACUCCCAUGUUGGCUGGGGCUGGUGGGAUUUGGAGUCCAACAGCACCUGGAAGGCAACAAGUUCCCCAACUGAAGGAAAAGAGGCAGCAGAGGAAUCUGGAACCUGGGUCAUUGUUCAAGGUACAGUGCACAGUUAUCUCAAAGUAAAGGUAAAGGGACCCCUGACCAUUAGGUCCAGUCAUGGCUGACUCUGGGGUUGCGGCGCUCAUCUCACUUUAUUGGCCGAGGGAGCCGGCGUACAGCUUCCGGGUCAUGUGGCCAGCAUGACUAAGCCGCUUCUGGCGAACCAGAGCAGCGCACGGAAACGCCGUUUACCUUCCCGCCGGAGCGGUACCUAUUUAUCUACUUGCACUUUGACAUGCUUUCGAACUGCUAGGUGGGCAGGAGCAGGGACCGAGCAACGGGAGCUCACCCUGUCGCGGGGAUUCGAACCGCCGACCUUUUGAUCGGCAAGUCCUAGGCUCUGUGGUUUAACCCAUAGUGCCACCCGCGUCCCUUAUCUCACAGUACCUGAAUGCAAAGUGUUAUCUCUGUGGCCGGUUUGGGUCCUGAAUUUCGUGCUGAAGAAGAUGUUCUGCAGGGAGAAAAGGCAAUGGCCUUUGCUGCAUGCAUUCAUCUGCUCUGGGUUCAGCAGACAGUCACAUUUUCAGCCCAAGCCAAAAACCAGAGCCGACGCCUGGAGGGGAAGUCUGGGGAGGGGACGUGCGCCUGGAGUCCACCGUAUUCUCUAGGGAGCUGCCCUCUGGUGAAACAAUUAGUCAGAGAUGAAAGGGGGUGUCUCCUGCCCUCCAGAAGGGCCUGCUGCUGCUGGCAUGCGUGCUCUCCAGAGCCAGCGCAGUGAAAAUAUGGUCUGCACACCAACCGCAAUCACUGUCUUUUGCCUGCAGCCAAAGGGGGAAACUUUUGGUAAUUCAUUUAUGUGGGGCCUUGAAGACUGGAAGGCUUUGUGGAGCUGACAGCCCACAGGCCAUGGACAUGCCAAGCUGGACAGACAGGGCAUUGUGGCCGACACUGUGUAGCAACGGCAAGGAGCAGGUUGGCAAUGCGGCGAAAGCAGCAGCUGGCCUGACAGGGACCCAAACAUCUGUCUGAUGUUUCUCCAGUCAUUUGGGAGAUUUCCAGAGGGCUGUUGCCAAGGCACUGGGAGAGAGGACGUCCUUCUGGUCUGAUGUCCUUUUGAAAAGGGUCUUUGAUUUGUAUCUGCGUUCCUAUUUCAGCAUCUCUGCAGAUAAGGCUCCAUGCAAUGUGUUUCCUCCAGGGAUUUUAAGCAUUCUGAAUAGAGAAUUCUUAAAAAUUAAGAUUGCACCCGUCUCUCUCUCUCUCUUUCUCUCCCUUCCUUGACCCCAGCUUGCUAAAAGAACCAGCAUUUUGCCACAAUGAGUUUAGAUUAAGUGAAAAGUUAAUGGCUUUUAAAAUUCCACAUGGAACCACCUUGUGUUAAAAUCUCUUACCAAAAAAAAAAAGCACUUCUGUUUCAUAUGUGAAAAUUCCCACACCCUUAUUAACUGGAUAACAUUGGUUUCCAGAUCUAAGCAGCCCAAACCUUCAUGUGGACAUGAACUUUUCGUCCAAUAUAUUGUUGCAGGCAUUGUAUGAGAGAAUCUAGGCUUUUGUUUAGCACAUUGAUUUGUUUGAUACACCGUUAAGAUUGAAGCUGCUUGCCUAAAUGAGCAGCGAUGGCCUUGGACGGCUGAUAGCAAAUCUCAUUUGCUUUGAUGAGGGUUAGAAAGGAGUUUGGAAGGCAGCCACCCAAGGAAACAUUAAAUAUUGUUAGAAGCAUGCUACAUAUUGUUAAGGCACUUGGGAUAUUUUGUGGACUUUUUCCCAGAGAAAUAAAUAAGUCUGGGCUUUAUUUCCCUAACUGGUUGGCAAGAAGGCUGCUUGGGAAUAGAGACCUCAAAAGCAUGCUUUUUGCUUUUGAGAAACUGAUGCUGUUUCCAAAACAGCUUGUCUGCUUGACUACACUCUUCAGCUUAUUGGCAUGCAUCCUCAGGACAUGCACUCAUCUAUAACAAUCAUCAUUCAGUGUGCAGAAUCAGCAGUAGAUACUGUAGUGUCUGGAUGAUACCCUGGCUGGGUCCCUUCCAGACCUCCUUGGAAUCUAGUAGAAGAGGCUGCUGAACAAGUUCCUUUGUUACGAUAAUGGCUUUGGCUGGCAAGUUAAGUAUUGUGAUUUGACAUAUCCAAAGAACUUGCUCUGUUGCCAUAGAGACAAAGGGGCAGGGCUUUUCCCACCUCACCUAACUGGAUGCCACACCAUCCUAGGAUGGAGAACAAGAGGCCAAGAGACCUGUGUAUAGGAGAGUUGUGUGUGAGUUUUGAGCAAGGCUGGAAGUGGGGACAUCGAGACAUGUCUGCUCCGUGCUGAACCCAAGCUUCUAGCUUGGGGUUCCCUUGGAACCCUUAUGGGGAAGCAGGAUAUUUUUGGGUGUUAAUGCUGUGAGCCCCUCCUACACUCAGGCUGUAUAUAUGUAUAAAGAAAACCAUGUAUCCUAAAGACUCCACAGUCUCCAUUGACCUUCAUUCCAAGGAAACCAAAAUCGCAGUAAUCAUAGGCACCACUGGAGUCUCUGGCUGCCUGGAGAUUGGGGAUGAACACAACAGUAGGUUACACAAGCACACUCCCCCACAUGGUGCCAUGUUUGUGCUUUCCCUCAGGAGCUGUCUCUUAUCCCAAUGUUGCUGGACUCCAACUCCCAUCAGCUGCCUCUACCACUGCCAACUGUCAGGGAUGAUGGGAGUUGUGAUCUAAAGCACAGAGAUGGCACCAGCUCAGGGAAGGGCUGCCUUAGAAGAACACAACUGGUGCUGUGCUAUUUCUGAGCUCGAGGCCUAACCAAAAUGUGUUUGGCAGCACAGCUCAUUCUCCUGCGUGAAUUAUCUCCGAGCCUCCCCACUUGAAAUGUGCAUCCAGCUCAUUCCAGGAAUAGAGUCCGCACUUGUGACUUGGCUCGUCAUGAAAUGUUCAACUCCCAGGGCUAUCAACCGACAGUGUGCUUCUAGCUAGCAAACAGCCCUGCCUUGAAAGGAUUUAUCAAGGAAUUAACCCAGUUAACAAUGCAGUACUAUGGAUGUUUACCCAGAUGUGCAUCCCACUGGGUCUAAUGGAGCCUACCUCAUUUAUUACAACAUUUUGACAGAGGUAGCGUUUGGCUAAAGGUCUUCAGAACACGGCAGUUUCUUUCCGCUAAAUAACAAAAGACAAAGCUUUUUAUGCAUAGCUUGAGAGAUAAUCUUAAACACAUUUCUCCAAACAGGAGAUACAACAAGCUUCUUACAGGGGAACGUUUGGCAAUCCAACAUCCUUUGGGGGCUUCCUAUAAGGGUAGUUGCUUAGGCAUCACUUAAGAAGAGAGGAGAGGACGCAGAUUUGCAGGACAUUAGCGCAUGAUUGUGUGCACACAUGCACACAAAAUUUAGAAUAAUCACUGCCUUUUAAAUAGAAAUGCAUGACAUCUUGCCAUAGUGGGGAACUGUGUGCCAUAGAAUCAUAGAAUCUUUGAGCUGCACCUACAUGGAUGGAAAUGAUCAGGAAGAUAAAGAAGCCUCUGACUCAGACGCUGAAGUAGAUCAGGGUCUUUUCCAGGGAGUCUUCUCUUCUCAUGAGGUAGCCAAAGUAUUGGAGCCUCAGCUUCACGAUCUGUCCUUCCAGUGAGUACUCAGGGCUGAUUUCCUUCAGAAUGGAGAGGUUUGAUCUUCUUGCAGUCCAUGGGACUCUCAAGAGUCUCCUCCAGCACCAUAAUUCAAAAGCAUCCAUUCUUCGGCGAUCAGCCUUCUUUAUGGUCCAGC